rnacentral:rRNA from 1 species
AGCGAACGCUGGCGGCAGGCCUAACACAUGCAAGUCGAACGAAGUCUUCGGACUUAGUGGCGGACGGGUGAGUAACACGUGGGAACGUACCUUUUGGUUCGGAACAACUCAGGGAAACUUGAGCUAAUACCGGAUGAGCCCUUAGGGGGAAAGAUUUAUCGCCGAAAGAGCGGCCCGCGUUAGAUUAGCUAGUUGGUGAGGUAAAGGCUCACCAAGGCUACGAUCUAUAGCUGGUCUGAGAGGAUGAUCAGCCACACUGGGACUGAGACACGGCCCAGACUCCUACGGGAGACAGCAGUGGGGAAUCUUGCGCAAUGGGCGAAAGCCUGACGCAGCCAUGCCGCGUGAAUGAUGAAGGUCUUAGGAUUGUAAAAUUCCUUUACCAGGGACGGUAAUGACGGUACCUGGAGAAAAAGCCCCGGCUAACUUCGUGCCAGCCGCCGCAGUAACAC